GGUCUCACUUUGUAGCCCAGGCUGGCCUCAAACUUGCAGCGAUCCUCCUGCCUCGGCCUCCUGAGUGCUGGGAU
rnacentral:miRNA from 1 species